UAACGGCGAGUGAAGUGGGAAAAGCUCAACUUUGAAAUCUGGUACUUUCAGUAUCCGAAUUGUAGUCUCAAGAAGUGUUUUCUGUGCCGGUCCAUGUAUGAGUCUGUUGGAACACAGCGUCAUAGAGGGUGACAACCCCGUUCAUGACAUGGAUCCCGGUGCUUUGUGAUACACUCUCGAAGAGUCGAGUUGUUUGGGAAUGCAGCUCAAAUUGGGUGGUAAAUUCCAUCUAAAGCUAAAUAUUGGCGAGAGACCGAUAGCAAACAAGUACCGUGAGGGAAAGAUGAAAAGCACUUUGGAAAGAGAGUUAACAGUACGUGAAAUUGUUGAAAGGGAAACGAUUGAAGUCAGACGUGCGUGAUGCGGUUCAGCUUUAGUUCGCUAGAGUGUACUCCGUAUCUUUGCAGGCCAACAUCGGUUUUGUUAGUCGGAUAAAGGUUUGAGA
rnacentral:rRNA from 1 species